UGGCGACAGUAGUGAGAUUGAUGAAAAAGAAUUUUCAUAGAAAUUAUAAUUGGACUUGAGCUGAUCAAAUCUAUCAUAUGACUGAUAUUGAAGUUUAAUGAUUUAUCUAUGACCUGUCAUCUAGUCGGAACUCAUGAUAAAGGGACUGAAUCACAUGCUAACUAUACCUUGAAGUUUAUUUCGAUUCUACUAGAUUGCCACUACAUACUGCUAGAUGUCAUUGGUUGAUUGUGAGAGC
rnacentral:lncRNA from 1 species